rnacentral:tRNA from 1 species
UGGGUUGUGGCUCAGUGGUAGAGCGCUUGCCUAGCAUGCAUGAGGCCCUGGGUUCAAUCCUCAGCACCACAU